rnacentral:rRNA from 1 species
GUCGCCUCCUAAAAGGUAACGGAGGCGCUCAAAGGUUCCCUCAGAAUGGUUGGAAAUCAUUCAUAGAGUGUAAAGGCAUAAGGGAGCUUGACUGCGAGACCUACAAGUCGAGCAGGGUCGAAAGACGGACUUAGUGAUCCGGUGGUUCCGCAUGGAAGGGCCAUCGCUCAACGGAUAAAAGCUACCCCGGGGAUAACAGGCUUAUCUCCCCCAAGAGUUCACAUCGACGGGGAGGUUUGGCACCUCGAUGUCGGCUCAUCGCAUCCUGGGGCUGUAGUCGGUCCCAAGGGUUGGGCUGUUCGCCCAUUAAAGCGGUACGCGAGCUGGGUUCAGAACGUCGUGAGACAGUUCGGUCCCUAUCCGUCGUGGGCGUAGGAAAUUUGAGAGGAGCUGUCCUUAGUACGAGAGGACCGGGAUGGACAUACCUCUGGUGUACCAGUU